GACAGAGGCCACGAACGUUGUCCGGAUUUACUGGGCGUAAAGAGCGCGCAGGCGGUCGUUCAAGUCGCGUGUGAAAGCCCCCGGCUCAACUGGGGAGGGUCACGCGAUACUGAUCGACUCGAAGGCAGGAGAGGGUAGUGGAAUUCCCGGUGUAGUGGUGAAAUGCGUAGAUAUCGGGAGGAACACCAGUGGCGAAGGCGACUACCUGGCCUGUUUCUUGACGCUGAGGCGCGAAAGCUAGGGGAGCAAACGGG
rnacentral:rRNA from 1 species